UAAUAAAUAAAUAAAUAAAUAUUUAUAAAAAGUUAAUGUGAGAAAUUAGAAAGAUGAGCCGAAAGGAGGAAUCCCUUACAACACGACAGAUGUAGAUAUGGAUAUAUAAGUAAAGAAAUAUGGGGAGUGGGAGUGGUUGAGGACGAAGAAAAGACCAAGGCAUGAAAAGUGGAACCCCCACGCCUUUUACGGUGGUCAUUUUACGAAGCCCCCGUAAGAUUCAUUUAGGCUUUAGGGUUUUUUCAAAUCAGCGGUCAGAAUUGCUCCUCCCCCUUCUAUUUAAACACUAGCUUGGGUUGGGCUAAACCAAAACGCAUGGAGGGUUAUGCGCAUCUAUCUUCACUCCGUUCUUCAACAAUUCAAGGUUUGACAUCGUUUCAGAUCUCGAUCUACGGCAGUUGUAAAGGUUCUGAUGGAAAGUAGAGGGAGAGUAGAGAAGCAUCGGAAGCGUUUGGAUUGGGAGUGAUGGGAAAGGCCCUCCACAAAAUAUUAGAGAUCCCCUUUCCUAUUCCUCCCAUACCGAAGGUUUCCGAUCUCUCCUCCCUUAUCUUCUCUCUCAGCAGAUUCUUCCAGUCUCGCGGAUCUGGAUCUCUAGGUUCCUAUCUGCUUCAGCGAUUUUCCCGGCCGUGAUGCCUAAUCCUCCGCCACCGGCCCAGCCGCAGCGGGAUUUGGCGGCGGGCGCGUCCGAAGCAGGUGGCUCUGGCGAUGGAGCGGCUAGCGCAGGCUGCCUGCCUUAUCGCCCACUACGUUCUCGAAGCCCUCCUCUCAGCGCAGCCUCUCCUCCCUCCCAACAAAGUCUUAAAUAUGAUUACCGCAGAGGAGGCGUUCAUGCCGAAGCAACUUCAGGACCUUCGCCACUUUAGUAAUUUCAUGUUUUUUAUGUUAUAAUAAUAAUAAUAAUAAUUUUUUUAAAAAAAAAGUUUAAUAAAAAAUUAAAUAAUAUAAUAAUAUUUUAAUACAUUUCUAAAUAAUUAUAAGAGUCUUUUAAAAUAAUUAUAAGUAAUUCAUGUAAUUAUAAAGUAUUCUGAAAUAAUUUAAAAAAAAUAUAUUUUAAUUUAUUUUUUUCUCUCCAUUCAUUAUUUUAUUUUAUUAUUUUUUAAAGUCUUUUUUAUGUUUAUAAUAUACAAAUUUCUAACAACAAAAUAUUACAAUUAUAUAUUUAUAUAUAUGUUUAUAGAUAAUAUAUAUUAAAUUUAAUAAGUGUUCAACUUUUUGUAUAUUAUAUAGUAAAAUAUUUAAAUUUACUCAAAUUUUAAAAUAUCCACGAUAUAUUAUAACAUAAUAUUAUUAUUAUUUUUUGGAUUAUGCAUUGAGUAUUCAUGCGUCCAUUUUACGGUUCACGUGACUAAUCUUACAUUCCUUGAAAUUGAUCACACAACUUCAAAGGGAAGGUAAAUUCAAAAGUUACGAAAACAAGUUUGAAAGGAUUUAAACGACCUUAUAAGAAGUAUUCUGUAAUUCAUACUAUCAUUUGAACCACAUCGUAAUAUAAUUUUAUUAUUGUUAA